AUGCAGUCGAGCGAACUGAUUGGAAGCUGGCUUCUAUGAUGUUAGCGGCGGAGGGGUGAGUAACACGUGGGCAACCUGCCUGUAAGAGUGGGAUAACUUCGGGAAACCGAAUCUAAUACCGGAUAGGAUCUUCUCCUUCGUGGGAGAUGAUUGAAAGAUGGUUUCGGCUAUCACUUACAGAUGGGCCCGCGGUGCAUUAUCUAGUUGGUGAGGUAACGGCUCACCAAGGCAACGAUGCAUACCCGACCUGAGAGGGUGAUCGGCCACACUGGGACUGACACACGGCCCAGACUCCUACGGGAGGCAGCAGUGGGGAAUCUUCCGCAGUGGACGAAAGUCUGACAGAGCAACGCCGCGUGAGUGAUGAAGGCUUUCAGGUCGUAAAACUCUGUUGUUAGGGAAAAACAAGUACGAGAGUAACUGCUCGUACCUUGACGGUACCUAACCAGAAAGCCACGGCUAACUACGUGCCAGCAGCCGCGGUAAUACGUAUGUGGCAAGCGUUAUCCAGAAUUAUUGGGCGUAAAGCGCGCGCAGGCGGUUUCUUAAGUCUGAUGUGAAAGCCCACGGCUCACCCGUGGAGGGUCAUUGGAAACUGGGGAACUUGAGUGCAGAAGAAAAAAGCGGAAUUCCACGUGUAGCGGUGAAAUGCGUAGAGAUGUGGAGGAACACCAGUGGCGAACGCGGCUUUGUGGUCUGUAACUGACUCUGAAGCGCGAAAGCGUGGAGAGCAAACAGGAUUAUAUACUGUGGUACUCCACGCCGUACACGAUGAGUGCUAAGUGUUAGAGGGUUUCCGCCCUUUUAGUGCUGCAGCUAACGCAUUAAGCACUCCGCCUG
rnacentral:rRNA from 2 species